rnacentral:rRNA from 1 species
UUGAACGCUGGCGGCAGGCCUAACACAUGCCAGUCGAGCGGAUGAAGGGAGCUUGCUCCUGGAUUCAGCGGCGGACGGGUGAGUAAUGCCUAGGAAUCUGCCUGGUAGUGGGGGAUAACGUCCGGAAACGGGCGCUAAUACCGCAUACGUCCUGAGGGAGAAAGUGGGGGAUCUUCGGACCUCACGCUAUCAGAUGAGCCUAGGUCGGAUUAGCUAGUUGGUGGGGUAAAGGCCUACCAAGGCGACGAUCCGUAACUGGUCUGAGAGGAUGAUCAGUCACACUGGAACUGAGACACGGUCCAGACUCCUACGGGAGGCAGCAGUGGGGAAUAUUGGACAAUGGGCGAAAGCCUGAUCCAGCCAUGCCGCGUGUGUGAAGAAGGUCUUCGGAUUGUAAAGCACUUUAAGUUGGGAGGAAGGGCAGUAAGUUAAUACCUUGCUGUUUUGACGUUACCAACAGAAUAAGCACCGGCUAACUUCGUA